AUCCAAAGUCUUCUGAGUGGCAGUGAUGGCAUGGGCCAUGAUCAUGAGCCCUUCCACAAUGCCAAAGUUGUCAUGGAUGACCUUGGCAGAUUGGAAGAGC